AUCAGCAGCAAUUCUGGCUCAGACAACUGACACUGCCCUCCCUCCUUGUCCCCCGUGCCACUCCCUCACACCACCGAGCCCUGCUGGCUGUGGGGCCACCUUUGGGACUGGCUUAGGGGACGGAUCCAGCAGAAAAACAAGUAGGGAAAUUGUGCAGAAUACCCACAGCAAAGAAUCCUUGGGGUUUGACCCAGCUCAGGCGUCAUGGCAGUGCUGGACAAAAGCAGGAUUAAACUCUAGGAGGAUUAACUAGGAUAGCAAGAUAAGAAAACAAAUCCAAAGAAAACACACUUCACAGAAGAUUUAAAGCCUUCCACAAAUCUGCACUUGGUAAGUUCAAUGUGGUGCUGAAUCAGACAUGGCAGAACCCCGUGCAAUCCACCCGUGUAUGUGAGAUCUUAAUCUUCAUUUUACAGCCCCAAAUCAGACUGUUGCCAUCUGCAGCAUCUGAGCCAAGUAAUUUCAAGCUGAUUUAUUACAUUUCUAACUCUGAACAUCCAUCAUUCUGCAAACAGCCUAAAGGGAGAUGCCCUAUACCUUAACUUACAUAUUUUUACCGUGGUCUCCCUCUAAAGCUGCCUGCCAAUCAUAAUAUUUAAAUCCUAUGAAGUUUGCUUCAUGUUUUCUGUAAUUUGAAGUCCACACUGCAUCCUGUUAACACACUGGGUUCCCAGAUAAGCUGCAAUAACUUUAGUAAGGAAAAAGGUGCUACCAUACCUGCACUUCUCAUCUGCUGCUCCCUUGAAUAGCCUCACUACACUGGCUCUGUUUCUGACAUCACAGAAAUGAAUGUUAUUAUUUUCUAAAUACAUUGUAAAUUCUACCAAUAUCUAGCACCAAGUGUUUGUAUUUACCCCUGAGAUAAGCAAAGCUGUUCUCAGAAGCUCCAACAAACCCCAGGGUUGUGAGGGGAUGUGAUGCUGCUCACGACAGAGCAGCAGCUCAUUUUAGCCUCUUCAGCACACAACUGGGUACCACAGACAACAGCAAUUUAUUUCCCUUCUCAGGGCUUUUCUAAAAACAAAGCCCAAUUUCUAGCAUGCCUGGCAGCAACAGAUCAGCUUGACUUGCAGUUAAGAGUGAAUCUGAAUACAAAUUUUGAAAGCAGAAUCCAUUACAUGCUACAGAAUUUCAGUCUUCUUUUAUUACAAUAGAAAGAGAGAGGUGAGAAAUAACAAUAAAACUGGAACUUGGGGUGCAUUCUGACACAGAAAAGUUAUGAAAGGCAACAGAGUUUUCCUCACAGUACAGUAAUUCUUAAGGAUGCACCAAAAGGAUUGUUUACCUCUGCAGUGAACUGUUAUCAAGGAAUGAGAAAAUUUUACCCCGUCUACACAGCAAAUGCACAACAUAACCACAGACCAUUUUGGAAACACAUUAUCAGUAAAAUUCUGCUCAAAGAAAUUCAGCCAGCCCCAUCUCUACCAGACCACCCAAGUUUUAUUUGGGUAUAUAAAACCCAACAGGUUUUCCCAAGUUGGAUUUUAGUUGCGUUAAU